AGUUAUUGAAUUUUGAGGUAUGGAUUUGUAUAUAUUUAACGAAUACAAAAAAAAUUUUUUUAAAGUAAAAAAGAAGAUUAUAACAGAUUUGUAAGCCUAUUUCAUGGGCUGCAGUUUUCAAUCGGCGUGAAAGAUCCACCUCGUAAUUCUUGAACACAAAUAUGUUUC